rnacentral:rRNA from 1 species
UGGGGAAUAUUGCACAAUGGGGGAAACCCUGAUGCAGCAACGCCGCGUGAAGGAAGACGGUUUUCGGAUUGUAAACUUCUGUUCUUAGUGAAGAAUAAUGACGGUAGCUAAGGAGCAAGCCACGGCUAACUACGUGCCAGCAGCCGCGGUAAUACGUAGGUGGCAAGCGUUGUCCGGAAUUACUGGGUGUAAAGGGAGCGCAGGCGGGAGACCAAGUCAGCUGUGAAAACUACGGGCUUAACCUGUAGACUGCAGUUGAAACUGGUUUUCUUGAGUGAAGUAGAGGUUGGCGGAAUUCCGAGUGUAGCGGUGAAAUGCGUAGAUAUUCGGAGGAACACCGGUGGCGAAGGCGGCCAACUGGGCUUUAACUGACGCUGAGGUUCGAAAGCGUGGGUAGCAAACAGGAUUAGAUACC